rnacentral:rRNA from 1 species
GGCGCUACCAUGCAGUCGAGCGGCAGCGGGGGGAAGCUUGCUUCCCCGCCGGCGAGCGGCGGACGGGUGAGUAAUGUCUGGGGAUCUGCCUGAUGGAGGGGGAUAACUACUGGAAACGGUAGCUAAUACCGCAUAACGUCGCAAGACCAAAGUGGGGGACCUUCGGGCCUCACGCCAUCGGAUGAACCCAGAUGGGAUUAGCUAGUAGGUGAGGUAACGGCUCACCUAGGCGACGAUCCCUAGCUGGUCUGAGAGGAUGACCAGCCACACUGGAACUGAGACACGGUCCAGACUCCUACGGGAGGCAGCAGUGGGGAAUAUUGCACAAUGGGGGAAACCCUGAUGCAGCCAUGCCGCGUGUGUGAAGAAGGCCUUCGGGUUGUAAAGCACUUUCAGCGGGGAGGAAGGGAACAAGGUUAAUAACUUUGUUCAUUGACGUUACCCGCAGAAGAAGCACCGGCUAACUCCGUGCCAGCAGCCGCGGUAAUACGGAGGGUGCAAGCGUUAAUCGGAAUGACUGGGCGUAAAGCGCACGCAGGCGGUCUGUUAAGUUGGAUGUGAAAUCCCCGGGCUUAACCUGGGAACUGCAUUCAAAACUGACAGGCUAGAGUCUCGUAGAGGGGGUAGAAUUCCAGGUGUAGCGGUGAAAUGCGUAGAGAUCUGGAGGAAUACCGGUGGCGAAGGCGGCCCCCUGGACGAAGACUGACGCUCAGGUGCGAAAGCGUGGGGAGCAAACAGGAUUAGAUACCCUGGUAGUCCACGCUGUAAACGAUGUCGAUUUGGAGGUUGUGCCCUUGAGGCGUGGCUUCCGGAGCUAACGCGUUAAAUCGACCGCCUGGGGAGUACGGCCGCAAGGUUAAAACUCAAAUGAAUUGACGGGGGCCCGCACAAGCGGUGGAGCAUGUGGUUUAAUUCGAUGCAACGCGAAGAACCUUACCUACUCUUGACAUCCAGCGAACCCUGUAGAGAUACGGGGGUGCCUUCGGGAGCGCUGAGACAGGUGCUGCAUGGCUGUCGUCAGCUCGUGUUGUGAAAUGUUGGGUUAAGUCCCGCAACGAGCGCAACCCUUAUCCUCUGUUGCCAGCACUUCGGGUGGGAACUCAGGGGAGACUGCCGGUGAUAAACCGGAGGAAGGUGGGGAUGACGUCAAGUCAUCAUGGCCCUUACGAGUAGGGCUACACACGUGCUACAAUGGCGCAUACAAAGAGAAGCGACCUCGCGAGAGCAAGCGGACCUCAUAAAGUGCGUCGUAGUCCGGAUUGGAGUCUGCAACUCGACUCCAUGAAGUCGGAAUCGCUAGUAAUCGUAGAUCAGAAUGCUACGGUGAAUACGUUCCCGGGCCUUGUACACACCGCCCGUCACACCAUGGGAGUGGGUUGCAAAAGAAGUAGGUAGCUUAACCUUCGGGAGGGCGCUACCACUUGAUA